GCCCUUCUCUCUUUCUUCGUUCAAAGCACGCGAGAAGGGGAGCGACUUCGGAGUUGGUACUAAUGCCCUCCAGCUAGGGUUUUGCUGGCAAUUUGUGAUCCUUGGAUUGAGUCUGUUUUUGCGGAGGGAGAGAAGGAUUGGCUAUGAAUCUUUAUUUAAGGCUGUCGAGAGUCGCUCCGUGUUGAUAGAGAGAGCUUGGGACUGAUCCACUAUGCAAACGGAAGCUAGAGUUGGAGUGGUGGUGGAAGGAGGGCAGAGAGCUCUCAAUUCGGGUCAUGGAGGGGUCGCCGUCGAUGGGACUGCACUCAAAUUGGCGCAGCAGCAGAAGUCAUUGCAUCAGCAGUCGCAGAUAGGGACAAUACCGCAGCUUCUUGCUGGAGGAAUCGCCGGUGCUCUUAGCAAGACCUGUACGGCGCCGCUUGCUCGCCUCACUAUACUAUUUCAGGUGCAAGGCAUGCACUCUGAUGUUGCAACAUUGACGAAGGCUAGCAUAUGGCAGGAGGCUUCACGAAUUAUUGGUGAAGAAGGAUUUAGAGCCUUCUGGAAAGGGAAUCUGGUUACUAUUGCUCACCGCCUGCCUUAUUCUUCUGUCAGCUUUUAUGCAUAUGAGCGUUACAAGAAUAUAUUGCAUUUGGUCCCCGGGCUAGAAAGUCAUAAAAGAAAUACUAGUGCUGACCUUGGUGUACAUUUUGUAGCUGGAGGUUUGGCAGGACUAACUGCUGCAUCUGCUACAUAUCCAUUGGAUCUUGUAAGGACACGCCUUGCAGCACAGACAAAAGUGAUCUAUUACAGAGGUAUUGGUCAUACUCUACAAACCAUUGUCAGAGAAGAAGGUAUCUGGGGGCUUUAUAAAGGGCUUGGAGCAACAUUGUUGGGAGUUGGGCCCAGUAUAGCCAUCAACUUUUCAGUUUAUGAGACCUUGAGAUCUUCUUGGCAUUCUCAAAGGCCCAAUGAUUCAACUGUCCUGGUCAGUCUUACUUGUGGUAGUCUUUCGGGCAUUGCAUCAUCAACAGAGAAACAGGAUGAGGUGCAGGAUCUGCACUAAUCUAACCAGACUGACCUCUAGAGCCAGAGACUCAGACUGGAGUUGUUUUUUAUGUGGCAUUUGAGAAUGCUAGGUGGCACUACACUCAGGUGAACCAACAUUGCUCUCUCGGUUAUCAAAAUUGAGAGGUGUCCUCUUUGAGGUAUGCUUCUCACUUAGGCUUCCUUUGCCAACUGCUUACUGAUGGGUACCAGAAUCCUUCAAGCGACGUAGGUACAUUUAUGAUGUGUUUAGUCAAAUAUUCUCUCUUCUCAUUUAUUGGCAACUGAGAUCAGUAAGAAAAGGUUCAAAUAGUGAAGCAAAUCCACAGAUGAAGGUUAAAGUGUAUCCUCACAACCAGGUUUUGUUCCUAGGUGAGUAAAUAGCACAAAUGUCAAACCAAAAGUGGGGAAAUAAAUGAUGCCACACAUUUGUAGACCUUAAAAGUACUUUGGAAUCUUGUGGCCCUAUCCAUGAAUUGUAUCAAAAUAGUUCCUGCAUAUAUGCUCAUCGCAACCCCACCUCACCACCACCCCCAGUAGAAAGAAAAAUGGGAAGAGAAAGCAAGGAAAAAAUUGUAUCAGAACAACCCCCCUCCUUCUGUCACAGUUGACCUAGGGUAGCUGAAGCAUUAUGUUUGGUUUUUUUUUUUUUUUUUUUUUUUUUUUAAGACCAAAACAUCCAGUUGUUCAACCAGAAGUGUCCUGUCUUAUUUUGAUAUUUUUAUUUUUUGAGACGGCAAGUGUCUCUUAUAUGACACUGUUAUUGUCGGAUUUCCAAAUAAAACAUGCUUUUAUGCUCAUACAUGACUUUUCUGCUGACUCA